AGAGUUUGAUCCUGGCUCAGGAUGAACGCUAGCGGCAGGCCUAACACAUGCAAGUCGAACGGUAACAGGGAAAAGCUUGCUUUUCCGCUGACGAGUGGCGCACGGGUGCGCAACGCGUAUAGAACCUACCCUGUACAGGGGGAUAGCCCGGAGAAAUCCGGAUUAAUACCCCGUGGUAAUUAGAAUCGGCAUCGGUUUUAAUUUAAAGUUUCGGCGGUACAGGAUGGCUAUGCGUCCUAUUAGUUAGAUGGUGAGGUAACGGCUUACCAUGGCAUCGAUAGGUAGGGGCCCUGAGAGGGGGAUCCCCCACACUGGUACUGAGACACGGACCAGACUCCUACGGGAGGCAGCAGUGAGGAAUAUUGGACAAUGGGCUCACGCCUGAUCCAGCCAUGCCGCGUGCAGGAAGAAAGCCCUAUGGGUUGUAAACUGCUUUUAUACGGGAAGAAUAAGGGACACGUGUGUCCUGGUGACGGUACCGUAAGAAUAAGGACCGGCUAACUCCGUGCCAGCAGCCGCGGUAAUACGGAGGGUCCGAGCGUUAUCCGGAAUUAUUGGGUUUAAA
rnacentral:rRNA from 1 species